rnacentral:rRNA from 1 species
UACAGAGGGGCAAGCGUUGUUCGGAAUUACUGGGCGUAAAGGGCGCGUAGGCGGCCUUCUAAGUCGAACGUGAAAUCCCCGGGCUCAACCCGGGAACUGCGUCCGAGACUGGAAGGCUUGAAUCCGGGAGAGGGAUGUGGAAUUCCAGGUGUAGCGGUGAAAUGCGUAGAUAUCUGGAGGAACAUCGGUGGCGAAGGCGGCAUC